GGCCAGGUAGCUCAGUCGGUAGAGCAGGGGACUGAAAAUCCCCGUGUCGACAGUUCGAUUCUGUCCCUGGCCA
rnacentral:tRNA from 1 species